rnacentral:tRNA from 4 species
GGGCCCUUAGCUCAGUUGGUAGAGCGCUUCCAUGGCAUGGAAGAGGCCAAGGGUUCAAAUCCCUUAGGGUCCA